AGGAAAGCAGGGGAUCGUAAGACCUUGCGCUUUUGGAGCGGCCGAUGUCUGAUUAGCUAGUUGGUGAGGUAAAGGCUUACCAAGGCUUCGAUCAGUAGCUGGUCUGAGAGGACGACCAGCCACACUGGGACUGAGACACGGCCCAGACUCCUACGGGAGGCAGCAGUGGGGAAUUUUGGACAAUGGGGGCAACCCUGGUCCAGCCAUGCCGCGUGAGUGAAGAAGGCCUUCGGGUUGUAAAGCUCUUUCAGCCGGAACGAAAAGGUUACGGUUAAUACCCGCGACUAAUGACGGUACCGGAAGAAGAAGCACCGGCUAACUACGUGCCAGCAGCCGCGGUAAUACGUAGGGUGCGAGCGUUAAUCGGAAUUACUGGGCGUAAAGCGUGCGCAGGCGGUUUUGUAAAUCAGAAUGUGAAAUCCCCGGGCUUAACCUGGGAACUGCGUUUGAAACUACAAGGCU
rnacentral:rRNA from 1 species